GACGAACGCUGGCGGCGUGCUUAACACAUGCAAGUCGAACGGUGAAGCGCUUGCCUUUUUGGUGGGUGUGGAUGAGUGGCGAACGGGUGAGUAACACGUGAGUAACCUGCCCUCUUCUUCUGGAUAACCUCAUGAAAGUGGGGCUAAUACGGGGUAUUCCGGGUCUGUCGCAUGGCGGGUUUGGGAAAGAUUGCGCCUUUGGGUGUUUUCGGUGGGGGAUGGGCUCGCGGCCUAUCAGCUUGUUGGUGGGGUGAUGGCCUACCAAGGCGGUGACGGGUAGCCGGCCUGAGAGGGUGGACGGCCACACUGGGACUGAGACACGGCCCAGACGCCUGCGGGAGGCAGCAGUGGGGAAUAUUGCACAAGGGGCGCAAGCCUGAUGCAGCGACGCCGCGUGAGGGAUGGAGGCCGUCGGGUUGGGAACCUCUUUCGCCAGUGAAGCAGGCCUGCUCCUGUGUGGGUGGGUUGACGGUAGCUGGAGAAGAAGCGCCGGCUAACUACGUG
rnacentral:rRNA from 1 species